rnacentral:lncRNA from 1 species
GGGUCGGCAGCUCGCCUGGAGCCAGAGCCUUGCGGGAGCAACAAGGUCUGGGGAUCUGUGGGCGGGUGAGCCGGUGCCUGGCUGGGGCGGAGCCGCGGAUGGGCGGUCGCCCUGCACCCGCUGUGCCUGACGGCGACAAUCCCGAGCGAGAGGCCAGCUUUCCCCGUGCCAGCCUCCCGGGUGAGGACCGCUGCUUGAGGCGACAUCGCUGCCUGCCCGCGGAGCUUACCUGAGGUACAUCCUACCUGAGAGUGGCGGGUGACCAGCCAAGGGCAUCCUCCCUCCCAGCUCCGUCUGCCACACCCGCUUGGAGCACGUGCACUAGGCGGUGACCACAAGUUCAAUAUAGUUUUUAAACGGAUGAACAAGAAACGGGAUGUUCCAUGUAUACCAGAUGGAAUUACGUUUAUGUUUAAACAGUCUCCCAAUACGUUGAGGAACCUAAACGACCUUCCGGUGUUUAAACACCUGCUAAACCUUCUCUUCCUUGGGACUCGAGACUUUUACAGCUAAAUUGGUCAGCCUCCAGUUUCCCCGAUCCGAUCCAGUCUGGUGCUUUUCUGCUGACUUGGAACCUUUGGGAGACUAGACCCAGCUCAUUAUCCGGCAAAUAGUCCGUCUUUUAAAAAUACUUGGCUUCGUGAAACCAGAUACUUCAUGCAAGCUUAGCAAUGAUUCAGUAUUUUUCCCCGUGUCCCAAUGAACCAGUAAUGUUUUGACAUAUAUUUCUUUUUUAAAAAAGAGAAUUGAGAAAGAUUUUAUUUUCACGAUCCCUUCCCUCCCCGUUUUGGGUUUUUGGAUUAGUCACUUUAUCUUUGGACUUUAGUUUCCUCAUCAGAAAAACUGAAAGGAAAACAAAAAACAAAAACCUCCCAAAUGUUAGUAACAAAAAUAUUUACAAUAGUUACAAUUUUGAGGUACUUAAUAAAUAUGCUGACUACAUAAUAAACAUUUAAUACAUGGAAGUGACUCCAAGCCACAUCUAGCACACCAAUUCUGCCUCUCUUCCUGUUGACUGAAAAGAAAUACUCUUAUCACUUUUAAAAUAUCACAUCCUCAGAUGAAUGAGCACAUCUUAAAAGUCAUGUUCAAGCUCUGAUUAUAUACAAUCCAUAUUGACCUAAGCCAUAAGAACUAAAUCUCAGACUUGUGGAAGGACCUAUCCUACCCCCAAUCUCUUGAUUCUGGAACUAGUUCUUUGAAUGAAUGCAAGCUCAACUAGCUUCCAGAAAAACAUGGUGUGGUGACAAACAGCAUGCUUUUAUUUGUUUUCAAAUGUGUGUGGUGGUGUCUGGUCUCUGCACUUCUGGUGUCUUGGAGGCAAGAAGAGGGUGGCAGAUUCCUGAGAACUGUUCAAACAGUUGUGAGCCAUCCUGGGUGCUGGGAAGCACUUAGGUUCUCUGGAAGAACAGCCAGUGAUCAUAACCACUGAUUCAUCUUUUCGAAGGUGCUGCCUUUUUUAACACUGAAGGAAGAUUUGCGUCCUUAGAGUCAGUGAAAUCCAACAAAUAUCUGUGAUGGGUUCCUAUCUACUUUUGCUUUUACUGUUUUAGGGUAAACCCACAUGAAAAACUCAUGAAUUAAAAUUUAAAGUAGGGAGGCAAAAAGGUCUAGGAGAUUCUUGCCGAUGAAAAGUUGUAUGAGACUUUCCCCUGGCCAAAUACUGUUUGGGGUAACUGAUUUCCAAAUGAGCCUAAUCUUGGGGACAUAAAGUUUUGUGUAUCUUGUUAACUGCCACACCUUCAGUACCAGAGCAAUGCUUGUUGCUGUCCUGUAAGAGCACAUUAACUAUUUGCUGGCUGGCUGGCUGGAUUGUUUUCAAGGAUAGGGCUCAAGAAGUAGGAUAAAACUGUGGCUUAUGCCUGAUGGCAUCGAUGGUUCUCAGAAGGAAGAUCUAUAAAACAGUACAAAGUCUCAGGUGCAGAGGAAGCAGUGAACACUGUGCACUGAGCAUCCCAGCAGCCACCUCAGCCAGACAAUGCAAAUUUUCUUUAAAUACGACUAAAAAAAGCAUGAACUAGAAAAGUUAGAAAGACAGUAAAUUUAACUUUACAUUAAUAAAUUGGACAUAAAAAUGGGACGUUUUUUUCCUAUUCAUAACGAAAGGCAAGACAUGGGUUAGGAAAAAUUACAUAUAUAUGUACACAUAUGUGUAUAUAUACACAUAUUAUCUCCAACAAAGAACUUAUUUCUUGAAUUUUAUAUGCUUUCAUAGCUCAUUAAGACAAACAACCAAAUUUAAAAAGGAGUAAACUACAUGAACCACCCAACAAAAAUACCAGGGUAUCAAAUAGUUACACGAAUACAUGAGUCGCCAUGACAAAGCACAUUAAAAUACCAAAUGCUCAGUGCAUUUCAAACUUCCUACAGUAACGUGUGGUAAGGCCUUGAGGCCUCCAAAUGAGAUUCAGGGAUUUAAGAAUACUCACUUUCUUCCCAACUGCCACUGUUAUUCUACAGCCCUUCAUGUGUCUGUAGUCUCCUUCCUGUGUUAGGGAAGACACACCACUAAAAAAUGACAGCCCCCACCAGUCGUUUCUAGAAUGACUUGUGUUUGGAUCACCAGCAACAAACACAAUAUAAAACAUGGGCUGUAAGAACACAUGGAGCCAAGGCUGAAGGCUCUCUACUACUCUCCAUAAGCCAAGGUACCCACCCAAAGGUCCUUACCUGCUUCUGUCUUGUCAGACAUAACUAACCUUCCUAGUCCUUACGAUGCAAAGGAUAAGUCCCAUUAAUGUAAGUCUUAUAAAGGAUGACUUUGCUGCUUUCCCAGUGGCAUGAGAAAAUGAGCCAGUGAGACAUGAAGCCUGAAUUGCAAGGGCAUCCAGAGGAAGAUUUCUUUGUUUUAGAAAGAAACACUGUAAGGGGAAAAAAAAGUCCUUCUAUCUUCUGACAUGGCUGCUUUGAAGGAUUGCUUCUUUCAUGUUCUCUGCAUAUCUUCCCAAGCGUGUAAACCUUCCUCAGCCUAGAGUCAAAACAAUGUCUGGGAAAUGAGAGUCCGUUUAGUAUUCCAAUGCAUCAUUACUGAAGUGAUAUUGACAGCAGCCUGGUAAAGCAUGGCCGAGGCUUAGAACUUCUAAGUACGAUCUUUCACUAUAUCGUUAACCUCUAAACCCUAACUGCCGUAAGAUUCUAGCAUCAAAGGCAAGAGGGAAGAUUGUUCAACCAGUACUAAAAAGGCUAUCUGUACUGGCUAGUUUUGUGUGUCAACUUGACACAAGCUGGAGUUAUCACAGAGAAAGGAGCCUCCCUUGAGGAAAUGCCUCCAUGAGAUUCAGCUGUAAGGCAUUUUUCUCAAUUAGUGAUGAAGGGUGGGAGGGCCCAUUCCUGGGCUGGUAGUCCUGGGUUCUAUAAGAAGCAACGGAUUGCUAAGUCUUUCAAAAUAAAAAAACAAACACCUUCUGUG